GACAGAGGGUGCGAACGUUGCUCGGAAUCACUGGGCGUAAAGCGCGUGUAGGCUGACGGUCAAGUCAGGGGUGAAAUCCCUGGGCUCAACCCAGGAACUGCAUCUGAAACUGGCCAUCUUGAGUACUGGAGAGGGAAGUGGAAUUCCUGGUGUAGCGGUGGAAUGCGCAGAUAUCAGGAGGAACACCUAUGGCGAAGGCAGCUCGCUGGGACGGUACUGACGCUGAGGUGCGAAAGCGUGGGGAGCGAACAGG
rnacentral:rRNA from 1 species